rnacentral:rRNA from 1 species
CAUGCAAGUCGAACGGUAGCAGGAGAAAGCUUGCUUUCUUGCUGACGAGUGGCGGACGGGUGAGUAAUGCUUGGGAAUCUGGCUUAUGGAGGGGGAUAACGACGGGAAACUGUCGCUAAUACCGCGUAUUAUCGGAAGAUGAAAGUGCGGGACUGAGAGGCCGCAUGCCAUAGGAUGAGCCCAAGUGGGAUUAGGUAGUUGGUGGGGUAAAGGCCUACCAAGCCUGCGAUCUCUAGCUGGUCUGAGAGGAUGACCAGCCACACUGGAACUGAGACACGGUCCAGACUCCUACGGGAGGCAGCAGUGGGGAAUAUUGCGCAAUGGGGGGAACCCUGACGCAGCCAUGCCGCGUGAAUGAAGAAGGCCUUAGGGUUGUAAAGUUCUUUCGGUAUUGAGGAAGGUUGAUGUGUUAAUAGCACAUCAAAUUGACGUUAAAUACAGAAGAAGCACCGGCUAACUCCGUGCCAGCAGCCGCGGUAAUACGGAGGGUGCGAGCGUUAAUCGGAAUAACUGGGCGUAAAGGGCACGCAGGCGGUUAUUUAAGUGAGGUGUGAAAGCCCCGGGCUUAACCUGGGAAUUGCAUUUCAGACUGGGUAACUAGAGUACUUUAGGGAGGGGUAGAAUUCCACGUGUAGCGGUGAAAUGCGUAGAGAUGUGGAGGAAUACCGAAGGCGAAGGCAGCCCCUUGGGAAUGUACUGACGCUCAUGUGCGAAAGCGUGGGGAGCAAACAGGAUUAGAUACCCUGGUAGUCCACGCUGUAAACGCUGUCGAUUUGGGGGUUGGGGUUUAACUCUGGCGCCCGUAGCUAACGUGAUAAAUCGACC